GUUUUGGUGAGUCUGUUUGAUGUCCUGGGUCAGUAUGAUAUAUACAAUGGUUUUGGUGAGUCUGUUUGAUGUCCUGGGUCAGUAUGAUAUAUACAAUGGUUUUGGUGAGUCUGUUUGAUGUUCUGGGUCAGUAUGAUAUAUAUACAAUGGUUUUGGUGAGUCUGUUUGUUUAGUUUGACAGUCCAUUAUAUACUUACCAAUAAAAUGAACUUGUCCCGCUAAUUGUAAAUGUUUUCACCCCCUGUUCUAUAAAGCGAUAAUGAGUGCUUGGUUUUACUGUGGAGAGGUUAUAAUGAGUGCUUGGUUUUACUGUGGAGAGGUUAGAAUGAGUGCUUGGUUUUACUGUGGAGAGAUUAUAAUGAAUGCUUGGUCUUACUAUGGAGAGGUUAUAAUGAGUGCUUGGUUUUACUGUGGAGAGGUUAUAAUGAGUGCUUGGUUUUACUGUGGAGAGAUUAUAAUGAGUGCUUGGUCUUACUAUGGAGAGGUUAUAAUGAAUGCUUGGUCUUACUAUGGAGAGGUUAUAAUGAGUGCUUGGUUUUACUGUGGAGAGAUUAUAAUGAGUGCUUGGCUUUACUAUGGAGAGGUUAUAAUGAGUGCUUGGCUUUACUAUGGAGAGGUUAUAAUGAAUGCUUGGUCUUACUAUGGAGAGGUUAUAAUGAGUGCUUGGUUUUACUGUGGAGAGAUUAUAAUGAGUGCUUGGCUUUACUAUGGAGAGGUUAUAAUGAGUGCUUGGCUUUACUAUGGAGAGGUUAUAAUGAAUGCUUGGUCUUACUAUGGAGAGGUUAUAAUGAGUGCUUGGUUUUACUGUGGAGAGAUUAUAAUGAGUGCUUGGCUUUACUAUGGAGAGGUGAAGUGCUGUAUGGAAGUCACUGGACAUGUCCUUUGCUAUAAUUGUAUAUGAAAUGUACAGCGUCCAUCAUGCGGAUGUCACUCAACUGCAAUAAAUUACUGAAAUCAUCA